rnacentral:lncRNA from 1 species
AAUAAUAAUUGUAAAACAACAGAGACCAAACUCAUAAGUAGUUUCAAACAUUUUUACCUGUUUUAUUACCAAAAGGAUUAAAUAGUUCAUUUUUUUUUUCCUUUUUAUGGCAGCACCUGCAGCAUAUGGAAGUUCUCAGGUCAAAGCAGAGCUGCAGCUGUGGCCUACGUCACAGACACAGAUUUGAGCUGCAUCUGUGACCUUACAGCAAUGCUUUCACUGAGCAAGGCCACGGAUCCGACCUGCAUCAUCACAGAGACAACACUGGGUCCUUAACCCACUGAACCCAAACAAAUCUUAAGAAGUUCAUUUGGAAAGAUUAAGGUAAUAAAUUCAUAGAUUUCUCUUCUCCUAAAAUCCUCUCUAAAACUGAAUGAAGAAUAGAAUCAGUGUGUUAUACAAUGUAAUUCUUUAAAGGAUGUCCAAAAAAAAAAAAAAAUGGGGGAGGAGUUCUCUUGUGGCUCAGUGGGUUAAGGAUCCAGUGUUGUCACUGCUGUGGUUUGGGUUUGAUCCCUGGCCUGGGAACUUUUGCAUGCCCCAGGUGUGGCCUAAAAAAUAAAUAAAAAUUUAGAAACAAUUAAAAAAAUUAAAAAGAUGUCGCACUAACAAAAAAACUAAAAGUUCCUAGAAAUACUAGGUAAAACUAAAUACAAUAAAAGUGGAAGAGAAAAUACUAGACAAAACUAAAAAGUACCCAGAAAAACAUGGGGCAAGACUAUUAAUUAAAAAAUUUUUAAAAUACUGAUUAAAGACAUGUACAACCUAAAUAAAUGGGAGAUGGAAGUUUACAGUCAUCAGGAAGCUGGGGUGGAGUUCCCCUUGUGGCUCAGCAGAAAUGAAUCUGACUAGGAACCAAGAGGAUGCAGGUUUGAUCCCUGGCCUUGCUCAGUGAAUUAAUGAUCCAGCACUGCCAUGAGCUGUGGUGUAGGUUGCAGACAAGGCUCGGAUCCUGCAUUACUGUGGCAUAGGCCAGCAGCUACAGCUUUGAUUUGACCCCCAGUCUGGGAACCUACGUAUGCUGCAGAUUUGGCCCUAAAAAUACAAAAAAAAAAAAGAAAUUAGACAAACAGGUCAAUGGUCAAGGGGAGACAGUUGAAAAAUAGAUUUGUAAACAUACAAAAGCAUAUUAGAUGAAAAAAUAACCUCGAAAAUCAGUGAGUAAAACAAUGACUUCAACAAAUUGUUCUGGAAUUCCCGUUGUGGCGCAGUGGUUAGCGAAUCCGACUAGGAACCAUGAGGUUGCGGGUUCGAUCCCUGCCCUUGGUCAGUGGGUUAAGGAUCCAGCGUUGCCCUGAGCUGUGGUGUAGGUUGCAGACAUGGCUUGGAUCCCGCGUUGCUGCAGCUCUGGUGUAGGCCGAUGGCUACAGCUUCGAUUCAACCCCUAGCCUGGGAACCUCCAUAUGCCGUGGGAAGCGGCCCUAGAAAAGGCAAAAAGACAAAAAAAUAAAAAUAAAAAAACAAAUUAAGAUAAUAUGGGGAAUGCAGCGGAAACAAAUCCGACUAAGAACCAUGAGGUUGCAGGUUCAAUCCCUGGCCUCACUCAGUGGGUUAAGGAUCCGACGUUGCCAUGAGCUGUGGAGUAGGUCACAGACACAGCUCGGAUCAGGUGUUGCUCUGGCUGUGGCGUAGGCCGGCGGCUACAGCUCCGAUUAGACCCCUAGCAGGGAACCUCCGUAUGCCGUGGGUACAGCUCUAAAAAGACUAAAUAAAUAAAUAAAUAAUAUAAAACAGAGGAUAUAUGCUGACAGGCAGUGGGAAAGGAAAAUGAGGCCAGAUCACCAAAGCUUGAAAAUCAAGUAAAAGUGGUUACAAUCUGAUGUGGAAGGACACAGGGACCACUGACAGUUUCUAAGCGUGAACAAAGCAAUUAACCUGAAUGAUUACUAUGGCAGCUGCAAGAGGCAAGAGAAACAAGGGUGUCAAGGAAAACAUACUAACUAGAGGCAACAACCUUGCUAUUCCACAGCUCAUCAGACUACAAUGAGCAUGCUAUGUUUAAAAAAAAAUUCAAAAACUAGAAUAUUCUUACAAGGGUGAUAGGCAUGAACCUGGAAUCAUAAAGAAUGGGCAUAUGAAAAAAAUGCUCAACGCCAUUAAUUUUUAGAGAAAUGCAAAUCAAAACUACAAUGAGAUACCACCUCACACCAGUCAGAAUGGCCACCAUUAAGAAGUCUACAAAUAACAAAUGCUGGUGAGGGUGUGGGGAAAAGGUACCCUCCUUCACUGCUGGUGGGAAUGUAAAUUCGUACAACCACAAUGGAAAACAGUCUGAAGGCACCUCAGAAAACUAAAUAUAGAACUCCUGUAUGAUUCAGCAAUCCCAGUGCUGCGUACAUAUCCAGACAAAACUUUCACUGAAAAAGAUACAUGCACCCGCAUGUUCAUCACAGCAUUAUUCACAACAGCCAAGACAUGGAAACAACCUAAAUAGCCAAUAACAGAUGAAUGGAUUAAGAAGAUGUGGUACAUACAUACAUACAAUGGAAAAUUACUCAGCCAUAAAAAAAGACAAACUAAUGCUAUCUGCAGCAUGGGUGGAACUAGAGAUUCUCAUACUAAGUCAGAAAGAGAAAGACAAAUACCAUAGGGUAUCAUUUAUUUGUGGAAUCUAAAAUAUGGAAGAGAUGAUUAUAUCUUAAAAAACAGAAACAGAUCAUAGCCAAGGAGAGCAGACUUGGGGUUCCCCGGCAGGGGGGAGUAGGAUGGAUGGGCAUUUGGGGGGUUUUUUGGAUACAAACUGGUAUAUUUGGAAUGGAUGGGCAAUGGGGCUCUAUUGUGCACAGCACAGGGAAACGUGUGUGAUUGGGUCACUUCGCUGUAAACAGAACUUGAAGAAACACUGUAAAUCAACUAUAUCUUAAUAAUAAUAAUAAAGAAAUGAGGCAAAGACCAGUUAAGUAACUUGCCCAAAAAUACACAGCAGGUAAAUAUAUGUGCCAGACACAUAGCAGGUAAAUGAUGUGGCGCAUGAAGGAGAGAAAUAAAUCAAAGAUUAUGUCAACAUUUCAAAUUUGAGAAAGCCAGGGCCGAGAAAGAAAGAAGCUAGGUGUAUGGUGCAGGGUAGAGAAAGAAGAGGUAAUGGGUCCCUCCGUGUUGGGUCUAAGACAGACAGAAGACAGGAGACGUUCGGUAGGCAGCUGAUGACAGAGAACUGCAAGCAGAGAAAAGGACUCACUGCAGUUUUGAAAGCUGUCAGCAAAGAGGUGAAGGUGGCAGCAUGCCAGGGAACACACCCCCUAAGGGAGCUAGAGAGAAGAGCAGAGAGUCAAGGACUGAGUCUUGAGAAACACCCAGAAACCAAAUGAAGGGAUAUGCAGCCCGUACAAACUGGAGUGAUGAGAUAGGGCCACUUCCCAACUGGUGCACCAAGAUACUGCUCCCCUGAGCUUUGGAGCAGCCAGCACCUAGGGCUGGGCACUUGCACUCUACACAGGUUCUUCCAUAAAAAUAAGUCUACGUGUGUUAUAAUAUGAAAGAAUGUUGGAAAGUACUUAGAUGCAGGAUCCAAGAGCCAAGGGAGAAGGGACUAAAGAGGAGGUGAUUAAGAGGACCAAGCGCUGCUACGCUGAGAGGUAAGAAAAGCAAUGCCAUUAGCUCAGGAACAGUACAACAAACAGUUACACAAGCCCCAAGCAGUGCCCAUCAUAGCUGGUUUCCCUUUAAAAGCUGCACAUGUGUCCUUACAACAUCUGUGGCUAAACCAUGCUGCAACUAAGGAAGUCACUGCAAUAAAAGGAAAGGGGAAAGAGGCAUUAGGACCACAGGAAUAAGUUUCGAUAUAGGGAUAAUGGGCAAGUAUUUUAAUCCAAGGAGAGAUGAACAAUGAAGAGAAUAUAUAAGCAGCACUAUCAGGUGCAGUGUUUUCAAAGAGUGUUCCAAGAAAUGACAACUGUAGGAAACACCCUGGAGGGUUCCCAACGGGUGGUGACAGUGCACCCUCCGAGACAUGUAACUUGUGACUAUCCCAUUACGUUCCUUCUGAGGAAAACUAGUCCCCAUUCCUGAGAAGAAACUAAAUCAGAGUUCAACUAAUUAUCUUGCAAAAGAGAAAGUGAAAAAUACCUAAAAACUUAUUGUCACUGUUUUAAGUUCUUUAAUGUAUUAUCUCAUUUUUAAUCCUCACAAUAAAACCAUGAAGUAAGCUCCCAUUUUCGGAUGUGGAAACUGAAGCACAGAGAAUUUAAAUAACUUGCCCAAGUUCCCACUGCUUAAAAAUGAUGGUUCAGGACUUUCCGUCAGUGGAUCAGUGGUUAAUGAACCCAACUAGUAUCCAUGAGGACGAGGGUUCAAUCCCUGGCCUUGCUCAGUGGGUUAAGGAUCCGGUGUUUCCAUGAGCUGUGGAGUAGGUCACAGACUGGCUCGGAUCCGCACUGCUGUGGCUAUGGUGUAGACUGGAAGCUACAGCUCCAAUUCGACCCCUAGCCUGGGAACCUCCAUAUACCACAGCCCUAAAAAGACCCAAAACAAAAAAAGAUGGUUCAAACCCAGGAGUCUGAUUUUUGAGUCUGAUCUCAUGGCAGCGUGGGAUCCUUAACCCACUGAGUGAGGCCAGAGAUCGAAGCCGCAACCUCAUGGUUCCUAGUCAGAUUCACCACUGAAUCUAUGGCUGAAAGCAAACAGAAAGACUUGCCCAAGUUCACUGAGCUACUGAAUCAUCUGACAGAGGUAGAAUCCAGGCACAGAUGCUAUCACUUCUUUCAACGAAUAGCAGUGAGGAGGUGGGAGAACUUCUGUGUUACUUAGGAGCUAGGAAUUUAAUGAAUAACUCUGAUUAAAGCUUCAGCAACUCUCCUUAGGUGCUAAGAAUUCUGAAUUUGCAAAUCAAUGACAUCCAUAUUUAUACAAAGCAAAAGUUUACUCCAAAACUAAAUAAGCUUGCUCUUCAAAAGCACCUACGAAGGGUAAAUGAAUCCAUGCCCUCCCAAUUAUCAAUGAGCUACAGCUGUAGGGCACUCCAUUAUAUCAUCUUGCACUUUGAGGCUGAUAUUGUUUUUAACCUGAGUGUUUCCUACAACUAUACGGCAGUAAUUAUUUCUAUUGACUCCUACGCUGAUACCCAGUGAGGACACUCAGAAACUUCCAGAAGCAGAGUUGUAGCCAUGUCUUGGUUAUGAACUUUAUGUUAAGGAUACUUUCUUUGGGCCUAAGAAUUAAAAAUCAAUUACUAUCUCAAAAAGGGCAGAGGGGCACUUUUUCUUUUUUAAUCCCUUUGAUAGAAAGUAUAACAUUUGGGAAAGUAUCUCAUUCCAAGAGCACUCUAUUUCCACUGGCCACUUGGAAGUGGAAUAAGAAUACCUGCCUCUUAUCAGAAUGAGCAUUUAAGCAUUAGGUUUUGAAGGCAAAAAAGCCUGGAAGAAAGACUUUCACUUGGAAAUUUGAUUGUCAAGUACUUCUGAAGCCUUCAACCAGGCAAUCUUUGAAACACACUGGGCUUUGCCAGAAAAUUCGUUUUUAACCGAAAUAAAGAGCCUUGAGAAACAAUUUGUUUACUCAUGGUAACACUCACUUCCCCCAGAAUGGACAUUUUGGAAAAAUUACUUGUACACCAGGGUCUGACUCAUGCCAGCAACCAGUCAUCCUCGGUCUGGAAGCUAUAAAAGAUCUGACGAGGACUCCCUAAGCCUCUAACUCUGAUGGUUUACUAAUUCUGAGUUUAUUCCCGGCCUUCCUGGCCCUCCUAAGUUCUCUACGAUGCCAACUAGCAGGGCUCUAAAUCGGGAAGAGGGUACGUGUCCAGGAAGAGCGAGGGCAGAAAAGUCACUAAGGACCCGGGGAACCUUAACAUGAGGACCACACUAAGCGGGGCUUUGAAAACGCAUGCUCUGACACCUCAAAAGUUUUAGAGACUUGAAUGGCGGCAGAAAAAAUACCGGCAAAAAGAUUUGGGCAAAGCAGAAACAAAACCCCACAAUCCACCCUGACAGGCGACGAGCGGGCUCGGGGGCUGAGGGGUCGGCGGGACUCUCGCCGAGGCCCCCGGGCCCAGGCCGGCACAGCAAAGUCUGGAGCCCCAAGGCCCUGGGCCAAGCCGCCAGCGCGCUAUUCGACAGCUCCACUCACCAGGAACUGGAGCAUGAUGUCCGCAAGGAGGGAGCGAUGGGCGGCUGCAACUCCGUGGGCCGGUCC